AUUGAACGCUGGCGGCAGGCCUAACACAUGCAAGUCGAACGGUAACAGGAAGAAGCUUGCUUCUUUGCUGACGAGUGGCGGACGGGUGAGUAAUGUCUGGGAAACUGCCUGAUGGAGGGGGAUAACUACUGGAAACGGUAGCUAAUACCGCAUAACGUCGCAAGACCAAAGAGGGGGACCUUCGGGCCUCUUGCCAUCGGAUGUGCCCAGAUGGGAUUAGCUAGUAGGUGGGGUAACGGCUCACCUAAGCGACGAUCCCUAGCUGGUCUGAGAGGAUGACCAGCCACACUGGAACUGAGACACGGUCCAGACUCCUACGGGAGGCAGCAGUGGGGAAUAUUGCACAAUGGGCGCAAGCCUGAUGCAGCCAUGCCGCGUGUAUGAAGGAGGCCUUCGGGUUGUAAAGUACUUUCAGCGGGGAGGAAGGGAGUAAAGUUAAUACCUUUGCUCAUUGACGUUACCCGCAGAAGAAGCACCGGCUAACUCCGUG
rnacentral:rRNA from 1 species